rnacentral:rRNA from 1 species
UACGAAGGGGGCUAGCGUUGCUCGGAAUCACUGGGCGUAAAGCGCGCGUAGGCGGCUUUCUAAGUCAGGGGUGAAAUCCUGGAGCUCAACUCCAGAACUGCCUUUGAUACUGGAAAGCUUGAGUUCGGGAGAGGUGAGUGGAACUGCGAGUGUAGAGGUGAAAUUCGUAGAUAUUCGCAAGAACACCAGUGGCGAAGGCGGCUCACUGGCCCGAUACUGACGCUGAGGUGCGAAAGCGUGGGGAGCAAACAGG